UACGUAGGGUGCAAGCGUUAAUCGGAAUUACUGGGCGUAAAGCGUGCGCAGGCGGUGAUGUAAGACAGGUGUGAAAUCCCCGGGCUUAACCUGGGAACUGCAUUUGUGACUGCAUCGCUGGAGUGCGGCAGAGGGGGAUGGAAUUCCGCGUGUAGCAGUGAAAUGCGUAGAUAUGCGGAGGAACACCGAUGGCGAAGGCAGCCCCCUGGGAUAACACUGACGCUCAUGCACGAAAGCGUGGGGAGCAAACAGG
rnacentral:rRNA from 1 species